rnacentral:sRNA from 1 species
AAAAUUUAAAAACAGUACAUCCCGCACUAUUACAUAGCAAGGUAAGACAGACCAGGACAGGUAGCCUAUACACCUGUAGUACACCUGUAUAUAUAUAUAUAUACUACCCACCGGACAUAUCUCUAGUUGUUGGGCUGACCUUCUUUUUUUGCGUCGGAAUGAGUUUCUGAGAGUGGACAUAUAGACUCUUAGAUUCCCCGAACUACGGCGACGCCGGCUGUGUUGGUAUAGGUAAAAGCCUCCAUUUUGUUUGUCUCUGUUGACAUCAAUCGUUCACGCGCACAUAAACACAAAGCGUUCACCUGUCGGUGGGAUUCCUCUAAUCACAUGUUAAGAGAUCCCCACUGCAUUUCUUGCGUCUUUCAUUUUCUUUCAAGUAAACCUGAGUGUGUGCAAGCAAUUUUUUUUCUUUUUUAUCAGUUUGAAAACACUUCUUAUCAAUACCUGGUCCUGCAGUGCAGUCUAAGUAAUGUUUGUAUAAAAUUUAAAUAAAAAAUACUGACGGAAUAUUAUAUACACACCAAAUAUAUUUGGAAACUUGACAGUAGGGGAUAAGAUUUCACUCCAGAUUACUGCUCUGAAAAAAAUCUAUGGUAUUCAAAAUAUCCAUCUUCUAGCUGGGUCACAAAGCAAACAGACAAUAAUUAUAGCUGUGUCCUUCAUAAGAGUAAGGAAGGACAGUUACAUAAAAAAUCUAAAAUUAGGACAUUUUUGAAAGUAUAUACAUAACGAAAGCACAUCAUCACUUCAAACAGCUUUAAAAGGAUGUCAUGAAUGUUUAAAUGACAUUUGUACAUACGUCACAUUUAUCUUGUCAUUUUGCAAAAUCAUUAAUGACAUGGCAGUUUCUCUUAAACUACGAGUCUGUCUCCCUUUCUGAGUAUUACUUUUGAAUGUUCGUAAUAUUGAAAUUCAUUCACAAUACUGGAGAGGUGGACCUCAAGGGUCACUAUAACUCCCCCCUUCACUUUGGAUGGCAAUAAUUGGUACACGGAAGUUGCUAUUAUAUGUAUAAUUAUACGUCUAUGGUACUUUGGUUUAAAUUAGGGGGAGGGUCAGCUGUUAAAAGUCCAUGACACAAUGUAAUGUAUGUAAACCCUAUACACACAAUAUACCGAAUGUAUAAGAAUACAAAAACACUGUGAUGUACUGGCAAUGAGGCAUAGAAUGUACAUCCUAAUCAUGGACGUAAUUACGUCUCGUUUAAGACAUAUCACUGACCAUACAUCUUCAGGUUUCUCAUUAAGUCUCACUAUCUACUUUUUACUUAUAAACUGGUCUUUUUGAAAAGGGGAGCAACUCUUGCAGUUGAUGAUUUUAAUAAUAAUAUACUCUGACCCAGUUACGAGAAAAUCAUACAUAAUUAAUAACAAUUGGCAGAGAAAAAGAAAGAGAUUCAGUCGCAAGAAGAGGUAGCUUAAUGCACUUUAAUUGGU